rnacentral:rRNA from 1 species
AUUAAACGCUGGCGGCAUGCCUUACACAUGCAAGUCGAACGGCAGCACGGGGGCAACCCUGGUGGCGAGUGGCGGACGGGUGAGUAAAGCAUCGGAACGUAUCCUGGAGUGGGGGGAUAACGUAGCGAAAGUUACGCUAAUACCGCAUAUUCUGUGAGCAGGAAAGCAGGGGAUCGCAAGACCUUGCGCUCUGGGAGCGGCCGAUGUCGGAUUAGCUAGUUGGUGGGGUAAAGGCCUACCAAGGCGACGAUCCGUAGCGGGUCUGAGAGGAUGAUCCGCCACACUGGGACUGAGACACGGCCCAGACUCCUACGGGAGGCAGCAGUGGGGAAUUUUGGACAAUGGGCGGAAGCCUGAUCCAGCCAUGCCGCGUGAGUGAAGAAGGCCUGG